UACGUAGGGUGCAAGCGUUGUCCGGAAUUAUUGGGCGUAAAGAGCUCGUAGGCGGUCUGUCACGUCGGCUGUGAAAACCCGGGGCUCAACCCCGGGCCUGCAGUCGAUACGGGCAGACUAGAGUGCGGUAGGGGAGACUGGAAUUCCUGGUGUAGCGGUGAAAUGCGCAGAUAUCGGGAAGAACACCCGUGGCGAAGGCGGUUCUCUGGGACGGUACUGACGCUGAGACGCGAAAGCGUGGGGAGCGAACAGG
rnacentral:rRNA from 1 species